GUCCUAGCCGUAAACGAUGUGCGCUAGGUGUGGGGGCAGGCCUUGCCCCCGUGCCGCAGCCAACGCAUUAAGCGCACCGCCUGGGGAGUACGGCCGCAAGGCUAAAAACUCAAAGGAAUUGACGGGGGGCCCGCACAAGCAGCGGAGCAUGUGGCUUAAUUCGAAGCAACGCGAAGAACCUUACCAGGGCUUGACAUGCGCCUGAAGCGCGGGAAACCGCGUGGCCGAGAGGAGGGCGCGCAGGUGGUGCAUGGCUGUCGU
rnacentral:rRNA from 1 species